CAAAGAUGUCCACAAUCACAACUAUUCAACAUUAUACUGGAACGGCUACAAGGCAAAGGAAUUAAAUAGAAAGGUAUAAAGUUUGGAAAAGAAGAAGUGCAAUUUGCAACAGUGUAGGGAAACAGGUAGGCCUCACACCCAGCAUGGAGCCCAACACAGGGCUUGAACUCACAAUCCUGAGAUCAAGACCUGAGCUGAGAUGAAGAGUCAGAUGCUCAACCAACUGAGCCACGUAGGCAGCCCUGUAUUUGGUCUUUGAAUUGGUAAUAGCCAUCUAUUGACUUCAUACAUAGAAGAUGCAAAUUCUGGGGCUCCUGGGUGGC